rnacentral:rRNA from 1 species
UACGUAGGGGGCAAGCGUUGUCCGGAUUUACUGGGCGUAAAGAGCGCGUAGGCGGAAGCUUAAGUGUGGCCUGAAAGCCCCCGGCUCAACCGGGGAGGGUGGCUGCAAACUGGGCUUCUUGAGGUCGAUAGAGGAGAGCGGAAUUCCUGGUGUAGCGGUGAAAUGCGCAGAUAUCAGGAGGAACACCAGCGGCGAAGGCGGCGCUCUGGGCCGGUACUGACACUGAGGAGCGAAAGCGUGGGUAGCAAACAGG